rnacentral:rRNA from 1 species
UACGUAGGGAGCAAGCGUUGUCCGGAAUCAUUGGGCGUAAAGCGCGCGUAGGUGGCUCUAUAAGUCCGUUGUGAAAGUCAAAGGCUCAACCUUUGAAAGCCGAUGGAUACUGUGGAGCUAGAGUACGGAAGAGGCGAGUGGAAUUCCUGGUGUAGCGGUGGAAUGCGCAGAUAUCAGGAGGAACACCAAUAGCGAAGGCAGCUCGCUGGGACGUUACUGACACUGAGGCGCGAAAGCGUGGGGAGCAAACAGG